rnacentral:lncRNA from 1 species
GUUUUUUAAUUUAGAAUAAAAAUUCAAAUUAGGGUUUACCCAGCGUUCUCAGCUACUUAUACAGACGCCGCCCCAUGCUCUAAUGCAGUUACCUCAGGGCAAGAUGAUCGAGAGACAUUCGCUGUUCUUGUAAGUUGUUUCAUUAUACCUUGAUUGUUUUUAAAAGGUAUUGAUCUGUGGAUUUUCUGGGUUGAACGUGUUCUGAUCAUUUUUUUUUAUUUGUGUGUUAGCCAUCAGUCCGCUCACUGUAUACACCGAUCUCUCUUUGGUCUAUGUGGAUCGGAUCAUAACAUGUUGAUUCUUCAUAGGUUGUUUACUUGUCCUGCAAAGUUUGCAAAAUAUGCAGCUAUCAGCGAUUGCGUACAUCUACUUUCAACUGAAGACUUCUAGGCGGCUUAUUAUGCUUUCUUGGUGGUUUCAACUGUUUCUUAGAAUGAUCUGAUAUUUGGCAGGCUCUACUGCAAAAUGAUGCUUUUUUAUGUAUCUGGAGCAUGAUCUUGCAACAAGAUUUACCUCUUCUUGCUCAACUUUUUCAAAGAUUUGUAUUUCAAAGGCGUGGAGUUCUCUUCACCUUCAUUUGGGGAUGAAGAAGCUUUGAGCGGAGAUGAUGAUGACUUCAUCUCAAAAUCCAACUUCUUCUGCCAAUCAUCAGUGGAUCUAGGUUGUCCUGCAGAAGGGUUCUGGUUAGCGUCGCCUGGAUCUGAAGAUUCGUCAUCUUCAACCACAUGCAUUGCUCGAACUGGAUCAACUUUCAUGCAACUCAAUAGAUGUUGUUUCCCCCACGUCAACCAUGUUGGGAAAGUGAAAUUAUGAAGACUUUUAGAUCGCUCCAUCCACAGAUUUAAAUGUUGUAGCUAGUAUCUUCUUGGAGAUUUUUAUUCUUGAAGGUGGACAUGUGAAGGCAGUGAGGAGAGGAGCUCAAGACCAUAGCCCGGUUGCCUCAAGAAUAUCUAGUGCAAAGGUUGCAAAUGCACCUAACUAGGCAUCUAUCAUUUACUUGUUCUAGGUCCACUUUUUUAAGGUGGUGUUUUCUCAAAUAACCGGAAGAUUGGUUGUUACAUGGAAGUUUAGUUCUUCAUUCAAACAAAGUCUUAACGCUCCGUUGGUCAGCUGUGCUGGUUAUUCAACCUAUGAGUUCUAAUUGUAACAUGUUGAUUGCUCGUAAUGUUUUCAUUUUUGUUUGCAUCUUCAUUGUUGUACGUUUUGGUUUUUCUCCUAAUAAGAUGUAUUGAUAACAAAUAGAAUAAUUUUUUAUUGAUGUUUUGAUCUUUAAUUGAUAACAAAUAGAAUAUUUUUUUAUU